rnacentral:tRNA from 1 species
GAGGGUACAGCUCAGUGGUAGAGUGUGUGCUUACAUGCACGAGGUCCUGGGUUCAAUCCCCAGCACUUCCA